rnacentral:tRNA from 1 species
GGCUACUGUGGUGUAGUAGUUUGAGUAUUGGACUGUGACUCUGGAGACCAGGGUUCAAAUCCCUGCUUGGCCA